rnacentral:rRNA from 1 species
UACGUAGGUGGCAAGCGUUAUCCGGAAUUAUUGGGCGUAAAGAGCGCGCAGGUGGUUGAUUAAGUCUGAUGUGAAAGCCCACGGCUUAACCGUGGAGGGUCAUUGGAAACUGGUCGACUUGAGUGCAGAAGAGGGAAGUGGAAUUCCAUGUGUAGCGGUGAAAUGCGUAGAGAUAUGGAGGAACACCAGUGGCGAAGGCGGCUCUCUGGACUGUAACUGACGCUGAGGCACGAAAGCGUGGGGAGCAAACAGGAUUAGA